UACGUAGGGGGCAAGCGUUGUCCGGAAUCAUUGGGCGUAAAGCGCGUGUAGGCGGCCCGGUAAGUCGGGUGUGAAACUUUGGGCUUAACCCAAAGCGUGCAUCCGAUACUGCUGUGACUUGAGUUCGGUAGGGGAGUGGGGAAUUCCUAGUGUAGCGGUGAAAUGACGCAGAUAUUAGGAGGAACACCGGUGGCGAAGGCGGGUCUCUGGGCCGAUACUGACGCU
rnacentral:rRNA from 1 species